rnacentral:rRNA from 1 species
CCUACGGGAGACAGCAGUGAGGAAUAUUGGUCAAUGGCCGAGAGGCUGAACCAGCCAAGUCGCGUGAGGGAAGAAUGUCCUAUGGAUUGUAAACCUCUUUUGUCAGGGAGCAAAGUCACCCACGUGUGGGUGUUGGAGAGUACCUGAAGAAAAAGCAUCGGCUAACUCCGUGCCAGCAGCCGCGGUAAUACGGAGGAUGCGAGCGUUAUCCGGAUUUAUUGGGUUUAAAGGGUGCGUAGGCGGGUUAUCAAGUCAGCGGUAAAAUCGUGGAGCUCAACUCCAUCCAGCCGUUGAAACUGAUGGUCUUGAGUGGGCGAGAGGUAUGCGGAAUGCGUGGUGUAGCGGUGAAAUGCAUAGAUAUCACGCAGAACUCCGAUUGCGAAGGCAGCAUACCGGCGCCCGACUGACGCUGAGGCACGAAAGCGUGGGUAUCGAACAGGAUUAGAUACCCUUGUAGUC